AUUGAACGCUGGCGGCAUGCCUUACACAUGCAAGUCGAACGGCAGCACGGGAGCAAUCCUGGUGGCGAGUGGCGAACGGGUGAGUAAAGUAUCGGAACGUGCCCAGUCGUGGGGGAUAACGUAGCGAUAGUUACGCCAAUACCGCAUACGAUCUAUGGAUGAAAGCGGGGGAUCGCAAGACCUCGCGCGAUUGGAGCGGCGGAUAUCCGAUUAGGUAGUUGGUGGGGUAAAGGCUCGCCAAGCCAACGAUCUGUAGCUGGUCUGAGAGGACGACCAGCCACACUGGAACUGAGACACGGUCCAGACUCCUACGGGAGGUAGCAGUGGGGAAUUUUGGACAAUGGGCGAAAGCCUGAUCCAGCCAUUCCGCGUGCAGGAUGAAGGCCCUCGGGUUGUAAACUGCUUUUGUACAGAACGAAAAGGUUUCUACUAAUACUAGGAGCUCAUGACGGUACUGUAAGAAUAAGUACCGGCUAACUACGUGCCAGCCGCCGCCGUAA
rnacentral:rRNA from 1 species